UUGAUUUUGUCCUGCCACAGGUAAUGUUUUUCUCCUGAGGUACCAGGCCAGAGGAAGAAGUCAUUCGCUCUAUUUGGGUGCUUGAGGAAACACAGAAUGAAAGAGAACCACUUGUCAUUAAAAAAAUCAAAACAGAAGCCCGACAAGAACAUCUGCCCUAAAGAGAACAAGAUACAAGAUUUCCCCUUUGGAACCAAGCUGUCAGUAUUUAGCAAAACCAGCAAAAGUCUUUCAAUUUUCUAAGCAAAUGGAGCUUUUGCAGACUGAUCAAGUGUCAAGACAUGGUAGUUGACUCAAAGCAACUAUGAUGUACACUGUACUAUCAAGGCGUUUUUAGGGACCAUUUACCUGAAUACAAUUUAUGUGGAAGGUGUCUGAGAGCCAACCCGGAUUUAUGCUUCCUCGUCCUUGUAAUAAUAGAUUUCUUUUUCUUUUUUUUUUUUUUUUCCCAUCAAAAUAAAUGUCAGAAAGUUCUUUGACUGUUCAAUAAGGGAGAAAAACAUCCUUUUUCAAAUGAAAGAAACGGUUAUGGGCAAGGAUUUGGUGUUGCUGGAAGCUCCGUGGAGCGCUCCAGCCCCAGGAACAAGGCACACAAGGACACAUUUUCCUCCAAGGUUUGCCCCAGCACCUGUUCCUGUAGCAAGUAGGGCUCAAACCUUCCUGGGGUUUGGGUUUCCCACUGACCUGGGGGAAGUCCUUGAGGCAACAGAGCAGUCUUUGCAGGACAAAGACUUCCACAAAAGCACGUUUUGGGAGGAAAAUCCUUGCCUAUAAAAAUAUUGGUUUGGAGUGAUUUGCCUAAAUCGUUCUUUCCCCUGGCAUUUCUUGGACUCUGAAAAUCCUAAUGCAGCCCAGCUCUUCAGGAGUGCUGUGUUGGGA